GAGUACAAGCAAAACAAGACCAAAGGAAGCUACCUGAGCAGGUAUUCCAGAUACUCAUGUCAUACACCAAGGUUGUACCAGUGCCCCUUUCUCUGUGACACAUCCAUCCACUGGAAACUUUCGUACAACUAGCUGAAAGAAGAGAAACAUCCUAUUUCAUGUCACUGGAGCCCUAAUGAUCGCAGCCAUUUCAGGAAAUGCCAUCAAUUACAGUGAGGAGCUCAUUCAGAAGUGAAAGAUGAGUUCCAUUCUCUGUUACUUAGAGCUGCAUAAUAUUCCAUGGUGUAUAUAUACCACAUUCUUUUCCCAGUCAUCAAUCACUGGACGCUUAAGUUGAGUAAUGGCUUUUUAUUGAGGGUAUUACAAAGCUCAAAUCUGAGAAAACCUUGUCUACCAUCAACCCUGACCUACAGAGGAGAGGCACCCCCAAGCUUAUUAGUGAUCCUGUCUCCGUCUUAUUGGCACAUCCUGAUGGCCUUGAUCUCUAGUUCUUCCUGUGGAGCAUAACCAUAUGGUUCUUUGCCAAGAUGUUAAGACCAAAGUCGGAGAGUGAACCCCAUGUCAAUGAAUUCUUGUUUUUCUGAUCUUACAUUCCAUCACUUUGAUCCAGUACUCUCAAAAUGCAAUCACAGUUGUACAUGUCUUCUCCUGUCAAUAAACGCUACCUUAGUACUG
rnacentral:lncRNA from 1 species